AUUGAACGCUGGCGGCAGGCCUAACACAUGCAAGUCGAGCGGAUGAAGAGAGCUUGCUCUCUGAUUCAGCGGCGGACGGGUGAGUAAUGCCUAGGAAUCUGCCUGGUAGUGGGGGACAACGUUUCGAAAGGAACGCUAAUACCGCAUACGUCCUACGGGAGAAAGUGGGGGAUCUCCGGACCUCACGCUAUCAGAUGAGCCUAGGUACGAUUAGCUAGUUGGUGAGGUAAAGGCUCACCAAGGCGACGAUCGUUAACUGGUCUGAGAGGAUGAUCAGUCACACUGGAACUGAGACACGGUCCAGACUCCUACGGGAGGCAGCAGUGGGGAAUAUUGGACAAUGGGCGAAAGCCUGAUCCAGCCAUGCCGCGUGUGUGAAGAAGGUCUUCGGAUUGUAAAGCACUUUAAGUUGGGAGGAAGGGCAGUAAGUUAAUACCUUGCUGUUUUGACGUUACCGACAGAAUAAGCACCGGCUAACUCUGUGCCAGCCGCCGCCGUAAAAC
rnacentral:rRNA from 1 species